GGCGUGAUGGUCUAGUGGUAAAGACGAAGUAUUGCAAUCGCGUGAGGCCAGGAUCGAUUCCUGGUUGUGUCA